rnacentral:rRNA from 1 species
AGCGAACGCUGGCGGCAGGCCUAAUACAUGCAAGUCGAGCGGGUCCUUCGGGAUUAGCGGCGGACGGGUGAGUAACGCGUGGGAACGUGCCCUUUGGUACGGAACAACUGAGGGAAACUUCAGCUAAUACCGUAUGUGCCCUUUGGGGGAAAGAUUUAUCGCCAUUGGAGCGGCCCGCGUUGGAUUAGGUAGUUGGUGAGGUAAAGGCUCACCAAGCCUACGAUCCAUAGCUGGUCUGAGAGGAUGACCAGCCACACUGGGACUGAGACACGGCCCAGACUCCUACGGGAGGCAGCAGUAGGGAAUCUUGCGCAAUGGGCGAAAGCCUGACGCAGCCAUGCCGCGUGAAUGAUGAAGGUCUUAGGAUUGUAAAAUUCCUUCACCGGGGACGAUAAUGACGGUACCCGGAGAAGAAGCCCGGCUAACUUCGUGCCAGCAGCCGCGGUAAU